rnacentral:rRNA from 1 species
CCUACGGGAGGCAGCAGUGGGGGAUAUUGCGCAAUGGGGGCAACCCUGACGCAGCAACGCCGCGUGAAGGAUGAAGGUUUUCGGUAUUGUAAACUUCUUUUAUUAAGGACGAAAAAUGACGGUACUUAAUGAAUAAGCUCCGGCUAACUACGUGC